AAAUUAGAUCUGAUUUGAAAUUUCUUUCCCCCUCCAGCAGACCCCACCCCUAUCAUUUAAACUGAUCACCUGAUCUGUGAUCUAAGGAUCUGGACCAGGACAAACAUCUCAGUGUCAGCACCACCAUGAGACUCACUGCCUUGCUGCUCCUGCUGUGCCUGUGCUCUGCUAUAAUGGCUUUGCAAUCUCAAUCUCCAACUAACCAAGCAAUCAAGUUAUCUACUUGGGGAGAUGCGCACCCAAAAGCUAAGCGGGGACACAUGAGAGUAGCAAGAGGAUUUGGAGGAGGAUUUGGAGGAGGGGGACUUGGAGCAGAAAGAGGAUUAGGACAACACAGAGGAUGAUCUUUCAGGACUUGGUAAAUUGGUAAGCAUAUGUGGGCUAAAGAGCAAAUGUGUGGCUGAAUGGAGGGCUGAUUAGAUUAUAUCAGAUAAGAUAAGAUACUUUUAUUUGCCCCCAAGGGGAAAUGAAAAUUUUAUAGAACCUCAACAAUAUAUAAAGUCUUUGAAAGUUCAAGGUCUCUGAUUUCUUGUACUCAUUUGACCAGAUGUCUCCUUCUCUUGUAGGCAAAAGGACCAAACCAGACCAAUCGUUGCCAAGAAAGAAGAAGUCAAAAAAUGUCUGUUAGUUUAAAAUAAAACCAAACACAUUGCAGCAAACUAGC